UACGGAGGAUCCGAGCGUUAUCCGGAUUUAUUGGGUUUAAAGGGUGCGCAGGCGGGAUGUUAAGUCGGCGGUGAAAUUUUGCAGCUCAACUGUAAAAGUGCCUUCGAUACUGGCUUUCUUGAGUGUGGAUGAAGUAGGCGGAAUUUGUGGUGUAGCGGUGAAAUGCUUAGAUAUCACGAGGAACUCCGAUUGCGCAGGCAGCUUACUAAACUAUAACUGACGCUCAGGCACGAAGGCGUGGGGAUCAAACAGGAUUAGAUAUCCCU
rnacentral:rRNA from 1 species